rnacentral:tRNA from 1 species
GGGCCCGUAGCUCAUCUGGUAGAGCGCUACAUUCGCAUUGUAGAGGUAAGGGGUUCGAGUCCCCUCGGGUCCACCA